rnacentral:rRNA from 1 species
UACGGAGGGAGCUAGCGUUGUUCGGAAUUACUGGGCGUAAAGCGCGCGUAGGCGGCUUUGUAAGUUAGAGGUGAAAGCCCGGAGCUCAACUCCGGAACUGCCUUUAAGACUGCAUCGCUUGAAUCCAGGAGAGGUGAGUGGAAUUCCGAGUGUAGAGGUGAAAUUCGUAGAUAUUCGGAAGAACACCAGUGGCGAAGGCGGCUCACUGGAGCUGGUAUUGACGCUGAGGUGCGAAAGCGUGGGGAGCAAACAGG